AACGAACGCUGGCGGCAUGCCUAACACAUGCAAGUCGAACGAUGCCUUCGGGCAUAGUGGCGCACGGGUGCGUAACGCGUGGGAAUCUGCCUUUCGGUUCGGAAUAACUCAGGGAAACUUGAGCUAAUACCGGAUAACGUCGCAAGACCAAAGAUUUAUCACCGAAAGAUGAGCCCGCGUAGGAUUAGCUAGUUGGUGAGGUAAAGGCUCACCAAGGCGACGAUCCUUGGCUGGUCUGAGAGGAUGAUCAGCCACACUGGGACUGAGACACGGCCCAGACUCCUACGGGAGGCAGCAGUGGGGAAUAUUGGACAAUGGGCGAAAGCCUGAUCCAGCAAUGCCGCGUGAGUGAUGAAGGCCUUAGGGUUGUAAAGCUCUUUUACCCGGGAAGAUAAUGACGGUACCGGGAGAAUAAGCCCCGGCUAACUCCGUG
rnacentral:rRNA from 1 species